rnacentral:rRNA from 1 species
AUCUUGUUAGCCGCAAGGCGAAGCUCGGUCUUUAAGUCCCAGUGAAUGUCGGCCGUAACUAUAACGGUCCUAAGGUAGCGAAAUUCCUUGUCGGGUAAGUUCCGACCUGCACGAAUCGUGUAACGACCGAACGACUGUCUCGGAGAGGAUCUCGGCGAAACUGUAACGGCGGUGAAGAUGCCGCCUGCCCGCAGUAGGACGGCAAGACCCUAUGCACCUUUACUGUAAGCUCGUAUUGUGUCUUGAUUAUUCAUGCGUAGCGUAGGUGGGAGACUUCGAAGCGGGGGCCUCGGUUCCCGUGGAGUCGCAAUGUGAAACACCACUCUUGGCUAAUUAGGAUUCUAACCUCACUCUGUCAUCCAGAUGAGGGACCGUGCGUGCGGGUCAGUUUGACUGGGGCGGUUUCCUCCGAAAGAGUAACGGAGGAGCGCUAAGCUUGGCUCAGCAUGGUUGGCAACCAUGCGUCGAGCGUAUGGGUAGAAGCCAGGUUAACUGUGAGACCAACAAGUCGAGCAGGUGCGAAAGCAGGCCCAAAUGAUCCGACGGUUUAAUGUGGAAUUGCCGUCGCUCAACGGACAAAAGGUACGCUAGGGAUAACAGGCUGAUCGAGUCCAAGAGUUCAUAUCGACGACUCGGUUUGGCACCUCGAUGUCGACUCGUCGCAUCCUGGGGCUGAAGAAGGUCCCAAGGGUCCGGCUGUUCGCCGGUUAAAGCGGCACGCGAGUUGGGUUCAGAACGUCGUGAGACAGUUCGGUCCUUAUCCACUGUGGGCGCAGGAAACUUGAGGGGUUCAAAUCUUAGUACGAGAGGACCAGAUUUGACGCACUUCUGGUGUGGCAAUUGUCGCGUCAGCGGCAGCGUUGCGUAGCCAUGUGCGGAAGAGAUAAGCGCUGAAUGCAUCUAAGUGCCAAGCUCAUCCCAAGAUAAUGUUUCCCGAACCGCAAGGUUCCUAAAGACCCCCGGCAGACUACCGGGUUGAUAGGUUAGGCGUGUAAGCGGAGUGAUCCGUUCAGCGGACUAAUACUAAUCGGUCGUGCGGCUUGAUCGC